rnacentral:rRNA from 1 species
AAAAGACAUCAACCGAGAUUCCGUUAGUAGUGGCGAGCGAACGCGGACCAGGCCAGUGCCUCUUGUUCAACUAGCAGAAGCUUCUGGAAAGUAGCGCCGUAGCGGGUGACAGCCCCGUAUGCGAAAGUGAGACAAGAGGACUCGAGUAGGGCGGGACACGUGUAAUCCUGUCUGAACAUGGGGGGACCACCCUCCAAGCCUAAAUACUCGUACAUGACCGAUAGCGAACUAGUACCGUGAGGGAAAGGUGAAAAGCACCCCGAUGAGGGGAGUGAAACAGUACCUGAAACGGAUUGCCUACAAGCAGUUGGAGGGUCCUUGAGGCCUGACAGCGUACCUCUUGCAUAAUGGGUCUGUGACUUAAUGUUUCAAGCAAGCUUAAGCCGGUAGGUGUAGGCGCAGCGAAAGCGAGUCUGAAUAGGGCGACAUAGUUUGAAGUAUUAGACCCGAAACCCGGCGAUCUAGGCAUGACCAGGAUGAAGGUGCGGUAACACGCACUGGAGGUCCGAACCGAUUAACGUUGAAAAGUUACCGGAUGAGUUGUGUUUAGGGGUGAAAGGCCAAUCAAGCCGGGAAAUAGCUGGUUCUCCGCGAAAACUAUUGAGGUAGUGCCUCGGAUGGACACCCUAGGGGGUAGAGCACUGGAUGGAUGCGGGGGUCGCGAGAUCUACCAACUCUAACCAAACUCCGAAUACCUAGGAGUGAUAUCCGGGAGACAGACGGCGGGUGCUAAGGUCCGUCGUCAAAAGGGAAACAGCCCUGACCUACAGCUAAGGUCCCCAAGUCACGUCUAAGUGGGAAAGCAUGUGGGAAUCCCAAAACAACCAGGAGGUUGGCUUAGAAGCAGCCAUCCUUUAAAGAAAGCGUAACAGCUCACUGGUCUAAACAAGGGUUCCUGCGGCGAAGAUGUAACGGGGCUCAAGACGUGCACCGAAGCUUAGGGUGUGUAGUUUACUACACGCGGUAGCGGAGCGUUCCGUAAGCCUGCGAAGCCAUCUGGUAAUGGGUGGUGGAGGUAUCGGAAGUGCGAAUGCAGACAUGAGUAGCGAUAAAAAGGGUGAGAUGCCCUUUCGCCGAAAGACCAAGGGUUCCUGCGCAAGGCUAAUCCGCGCAGGGUGAGCCGGCCCCUAAGACGAGCCCGAAGGGGGUAGUCGAUGGGAAUGCGGUUAAUAUUCCGCAGCCUGGUGGUGUGUGACGGAUGGUGUGUGUUGUACGUCCUUAUCGGAUUGGACGUGCUUCGAAACUGUCCCGGGAAAUAGCCCCACCGUAUAGACCGUACCCGAAACCGACACAGGUGGUCAGGUAGAGUAUACCAAGGCGCUUGAGAGAAGUGUCCUGAAGGAACUCGGCAAAUUGCCUCCGUACCUUCGGAAGAAGGAGGCCCCGGCUAAGCGCAAGCUCUGUCGGGGGGCACAGGCCAGGGGGUAGCGACUGUUUAGCAAAAACACAGGGCUCUGCUAAGUCGGCUUCAAGACGACGUAUAGGGCCUGACGCCUGCCCGGUGCCUGAAGGUUAAGAGGAGGAGUGCAAGCUCUGAAUUGAAGCCCAGGUAAACGGCGGCCGUAACUAUAACGGUCCUAAGGUAGCGAAAUUCCUUGUCGGGUAAGUUCCGACCUGCACGAAUGGCGUAACGACUUCCCCACUGUCUCCAGGACAUGCUCAGCGAAAUUGAAUUCUCCGUGAAGAUGCGGAGUACCCGCGGUUAGACGGAAAGACCCCGUGCACCU